AUAUCCCCUUCCCCUGCGUUCGAGCGCAGCGUUCUGGCUCUUGGCCAGGUGAGAGCCAGAGAAAGGGUGAGGGGGAGGGAGGAAAGGCGGAGGCGAAGGGGGCGAGGGCGACGAUCAGCGAGGAGGAGCUGAGGGAAGGCAAUGUUGAUCCUGGAUUACGUUCAGGUGGCCAUGGCGAUGAUCGUCGGGACCAAGAAUUGGAAACGCCGCCUUGACGUUGUCGUUAUCGAUGGCCUCUUCCUCGGCAUGUCGUCACACAGGCGAGCAGGAGGCGCCAGAGGCGCCGUGUUUUGAACUCCCGAAACAGUGGUCGCCGUGACCAGCCCUCAAGGUCCAGCUUCAGCGGCUUGGGACCGAGAAACAGCAGAUGUUUGAUAGAAUGCCUCAGCGGGAUGUUGUCUCCAAAUUCAGUCAUUGUUGGUUUUUUGAAUUUUGGGAUCCAUAGAAGAGGCAGAGCAGAUGUUCGA